GGGGGAGGCGAAAGAGAGAGAUGACAAGAUACUUCCCUAGGCAACUCGGGUGUGUGGCUCUGGGCUACAGCAUGAAACCACAGAUGAAUGUGUUUUAUGUGAGCUCUGUCCACAUCAGAAGACCCGAUAAAUCCUGGAAAACUCUAUUACUGAAUUCAUCAAAAAUUAAGCACAACAUUAAGGAAGAAUAGUGCUGGACAUUUGCCGUGUUUGCCUCGAUUCAAUACGGUUCGUUUUAUAGAAGACCAUCGCACCAAAACAUUAACACAGCCCACCCCCUGAACCCAGUGAUAGAUAUAAGCAAUAAAGUGUUCUCCUCUCUGCGUUUUGUGCUCUGACAGAGAUAGAUACUGAUGCUGAAUUCUCAUAAAGCAUUUGUGUGCUGAGGCAAUCUCUCUCCCCA